AAGACUAUACUUUCAGGAAUCAUUUCUAUAGUUUGUUACUAGAGAAACUGAGAGAGGAGGGGCGGUAGAGAGACAGAGAGACACCUGAAGACCCGCUUCAUUGCUUGUAAAGCUUCCCUACUGCAGGUG
rnacentral:snoRNA from 1 species